GUUUCCUGCUGUCAUAUGUCUCUGUUCAGCACUGGUUACAGUACACAGAGUCCUCUCAUGGUAAGGACAACUCAAAUAACGUUUGACAGUGAAAGAAAUGGACACGGCGACGUCAAAGACUUCGACGGGAGACCAAUGAAGUCAAUUAGAAGCACUUUUCCUGUGAGGGCUGAGCGUUACUGCGCAGCCUCAAACUGAGCUUGACGAAGUAGAUGUGACGUGAGCAACCUGUCUGAAAGUUGUAAGUCUUCUGGUAGCUGUGCCAAGAAAAAUCUGAAUCAUUCUGAAUCUUACAGAGAGGCAGAG